UACGAAGGGGGCUAGCGUUGUUCGGAAUCACUGGGCGUAAAGCGCACGCAGGCGGAUCGUUAAGUCAGGGGUGAAAUCCUGGAGCUCAACUCCAGAACUGCCUUUGAUACUGAAGAUCUUGAGUUCGGGAGAGGUGAGUGGAACUGCGAGUGUAGAGGUGAAAUUCGUAGAUAUUCGCAGGAACACCAGUGGCGAAGGCGGCUCACUGGCCCGAUACUGACGCUGAGGCACGAAAGCGUGGGGAGCAAACAGG
rnacentral:rRNA from 1 species